rnacentral:rRNA from 1 species
UACGUAGGGGGCAAGCGUUGUCCGGAAUCAUUGGGCGUAAAGCGCGCGUAGGCGGCUCGAUCAGUCUGCUGUGAAAGUCAAAGGCUCAACCUUUGAAUGCCGGUGGAUACUGUCGAGCUAGAGUCCGGAAGAGGCGGGUGGAAUUCCUGGUGUAGCGGUGGAAUGCGCAGAUAUCAGGAGGAACACCAACGGCGAAGGCAGCCCGCUGGGACGGUACUGACGCUAAGGCGCGAAAGCCAGGGGAGCAAACGGG